AACGAACGCUGGCGGCAUGCCUAACACAUGCAAGUCGAACGAAACCAUCGGGUCUUUUGGCCCCCGGGUGCGUCACGCGAGGGAACCUGCCCUUAUGUACGGCCUACCUCCCCGACAGGGAUGCUUAUACCGGAUCAUGUCUUCUGACCAAAGAUUUAUCGCCUUUGGUUGGGCCCUCGUUUGAUUAGCUUGUUGGUAAGGUAAAGGCCUACCAAGGCACCGAUUCAUAGCUGGUCUGAGAGGCUGAUCAGCCACACUGGGACUGAGACGCGGCCCAGACUCCUACGGGAGACAGCGGUCGGGAAUCUACCGCAAUGGGCGGAAGCCUGACGGAGCAACGGGGCGUGAGUGAUGAAGGUCAUCGGAGCGUGAGACUCGGUUACUAGGGGGGAACAAAUGUGUAAGUACCGAGGCACGAAUUGAAGGUACGGAAUAAGAAGGCCCCGGCUAACUACGGC
rnacentral:rRNA from 1 species